CAGUAGCCGCGGUAAUACGAAGGGGGCUAGCGUUGUUCGGAUUUACUGGGCGUAAAGCGCACGUAGGCGGAUCGAUCAGUCAGGGGCGAAAUCCCAGAGCUCAACUCUGGAACUGCCUUUGAUACUGUCGAUCUGGAGUAUGGAAGAGGUGAGUGGAAUUCCGAGUGUAGAGGUGAAAUUCGUAGAUAUUCGGAGGAACACCAGUGGCGAAGGCGGCUCACUGGUCCAUUACUGACGCUGAGGUGCGAAAGCGUGGGGAGCAAACAGGAUUAGAUACCCCGGUAGUCCCUGUCUCUUAUAC
rnacentral:rRNA from 1 species